AACGCGAAGAACCUUACCCGGGCUUGAACUACGGAUGGUAAGUCCUAAGAAACUAGGGCUGACCCGCAAGGGAGUCCGCAGAGGUGCUGCAUGGUUGUCGUCAGCUCGUGUCGUGAGAUGUUGGGUUAAGUCCCGCAACGAGCGCAACCCCUAUUCGAUGUUGCUAAUCCCGCAAGGGAUGCACUCUUCGAAAACUGCCUUCGAUAAGAAGGAGGAAGGUGGGGAUGACGUCAAAUCCUCAUGGCCCUUAUGUCCGGGGCUACACACGUGUUACAAUGGCCGGUACAAUGGGAAGCAAUACCGUAAGGUGGAGCCAAACUCACAAAGCCGGCCCCAGUUCAGAUUGUGGGCUGCAACUCGCCCACAUGAAGGCGGAAUCGCUAGUAAUCGCUGAUCAGCAGGCAGCGGUGAAUACGUUCCCGGGCCUUGUA
rnacentral:rRNA from 1 species